rnacentral:miRNA from 14 species
UUGCGGGACUCCUAACAGCAGGAGUGGGAGCGGGAGCUGUCUCUGAGUGUUUUGCUGGCUUUUGGGACCCCUUUCCUCAUA